rnacentral:rRNA from 1 species
CGUAGGUGGCGAGGCGUUGUCCGGAAUUACUGGGUGUAAAGGGCGUGUAGGCGGGGAGAUAAGUCAGAUGUGAAAUUCCAGGGCUCGAACCCUGGCGCUGCAUCUGAAACUAUUUCUCUUGAGUGCUGGAGAGGAAAGCGGAAUUCCUAGUGUAGCGGUGAAACGCGUAGAUAUUAGGAGGAACACCAGUGGCGAAGGCGGCUUUCUGGACAGUAACUGACGCUGAGGCGCGAAAGCGUGGGGAGCAAACAGGAUUAGAUACCCUGGUAGUCCACGCUGUAAACGAUGGAUACUAGGUGUAGGAGGUAUCGACCCCUUCUGUGCCGCAGUUAACACAAUAAGUAUCCCACCUGGGGAGUACGGCCGCAAGGUUG